UCUCUGGAGUGCCCUCGGGGCAAUCCCCCCGGGCCCUCUAACGAGAUUUACCUAUGAUCGCAGCCCAAGACUAGAUGUCCCGUAAGAAGAACCGUCAUCACAACAAUAAGAGACGGAAUCUAAACCGGACUCGCCGAGUAUAAGGUUUGGAUAAAUGCUAACCGGUACCGUUUGCUCAUCCCUGGUCACGGGUACCGUACGAACAACAACGGUAUCGCAAAAUUGUUGAUUUUCUUCAACUUUUAAUGAUUUUUUUUAGUUUCAGAGGUAGGGAUGAGCUCAGUGCCAACCGAUACCGAAUCGGUACUGGUACUGAAAAUAACGGUUACGGUACCUGUAUAUGAAGGUAAAAACCGGUAGCAAACCGGUACCAGGAACGCCAAAAGUCGGUAUCGAAUUGGUACCUAAAAUCUUUCGGUUUCGGAAAUUCGGUGCCGGUACCCAGUACCAUUUCCUCAUCUCUGACCAUGAGUUUCACACGAACAAUAUCAUUAACAUACAACUUUUUGAUUGAUUUUUUUCGGUCAUCUUUUAGUGUCUGUUUAUACAUUUUCUUUUUGUUCUUGUUA